rnacentral:rRNA from 1 species
UGUCUUUAUGGCAAAUGUGAGAUGCAGUGUAUGGAAUGUCAAAUUUCUAGUAUGAGAAAUUAACGAUUUAAGUCCUUCUUAAAUGAGGCCAUUUACCCAAAGAGGGUGCCAGGCCCGUAUAACGUUAAUGAUUACUAGAUGACAUUUCCAAAGAGUCGUGUUGCUUGAUAGUGCAGCACUAAGUGGGUGGUAAACUCCAUCUAAAACUAAAUAUAACCAUGAGACCGAUAGUAAACAAGUACCGUGAGGGAAAGUUGAAAAGAACUCUGAAUAGAGAGUUAAAUAGUACGUGAAACUGCUUAGAGGUUAAGCCCGAUGAACCUGAAUAUCCAUUAUGGAAAAUUCAUCAUUAUGAUUUUAAUAUUUAUAAUAUUAUAAUAAUGGUGUGCAUUUUUUCCAUAUAAGGACAUUGUAAUCUAUUAACAAACACAUUUAUUAUAAGAUCAAUUGCUUUAGUUUAUUCAGAUUAUUUUGCUUGCAAAUGUAACAUAGAAUAAAUGCUUUUGAUUUGAUAAAGUGUUGAUAGAUUUAUUAUAUAUAGUGCUUGAAUAUAUUUAUAUAUUCUAUAAUAGCGUAUUGAUCAAUGAUUUUUAUGUUCAUUAUAUGCACUUAUAUGAUUAACAAUGCGAAAGAUUCAGGAUACCUUCGGGACCCGUCUUGAAACACGGACCAAGGAGUCUAACAUAUUUGCAAGUUAUUGGGAAUUAAAAACCUAAUAGCGAAAUUAACAUAACUUAUAUAAUGGGAUUAGUUUUUAUGUCUAUAUUUAUAUAGUAUAUUAAUUCAAUCCCGGGGCGUUCUAUACAGUUAUGUAUAAUAAUAUUUAUAUUAUUUAUACCUCUAACUAGAGCGUACCUUGAGCAUAUAUGCUGUGACCCGAAAGAUGGUGAACUAUACUUGAUCAGGUUGAAGUCAGGGGAAACCCUGAUGGAAGACCGAAACAGUUCUGACGUGCAAAUCGAUUGUCAGAAUUGAGU